rnacentral:rRNA from 1 species
AUGCCGCGGUGAAUACGUUCCCGGGUCUUGUACACACCGCCCGUCACACCACGAGAGUUUACAACACCCGAAGUCGGUGGGGUAACCGCAAGGAGCCAGCCGCCGAAGGUGGGGUAGAUGAUUGGGGUGAAGUCGUAACAAGGUAGCCGUAUCGGAAGGUGCGGCUGGAUCACCUCCUUUCU